rnacentral:rRNA from 1 species
GAUGAACGCUGGCGGCGUGCCUAAUACAUGCAAGUCGAGCGAAUGGAUUAAGGGCUUGCUCUUAUGAAGUUAGCGGCGGACGGGUGAGUAACACGUGGGUAACCUGCCCAUAAGACUGGGAUAACUCCGGGAAACCGGGGCUAAUACCGGAUAACAUUUUGAACCGCAUGGUUCGAAAUUGAAAGGCGGCUUCGGCUGUCACUUAUGGAUGGACCCGCGUCGCAUAUAGCUAGUUGGUGAGGUAACGGCUUACCAAGGCAACGAUGCGUAGCCGACGUGAGAGGGUGAUCAGCCACACUGGGACUGAGACACGGCACAGACUCUUACGGGAGGCAGCAGUAGGGAAGCUUCCGCAAUGGACGAAAGUCUGACGGAGCAACGCCGCGUGAGUGAUGAAGGCUUUCGGGUCGUAAAACUCUGUUGUUAGGGAAGAACAAGUGCUAGUUGAAUAAGCUGGCACCUUGACGGUACCUAACCAGAAAGCCACGGCUAACUACGUGCCAGCCGCCGCGGUAA